GACGAACGCUGGCGGCGUGCUUAACACAUGCAAGUCGAACGGAAAGGCCCUGCUUUUGUUGCGUGCUCGAGUGGCGAACGGGUGAGUAACACGUGAGUAACCUGCACUUGUCUUUGGGAUAACUUCAGGAAACUGGGGCUAAUACCGGAUAGGAGCUCCUGCUGCAUGGUGGUGGUUGGAAAGUUUCGGCUGUUGGGGAUGGACUCGCGGCUUAUCAGCUUGUUGGUGGAGUAGUGGCUUACCAAGGCUUUGACGGGUAGCCGGCCUGAGAGGGUGACCGGCCACAUUGGGACUGAGAUACGGCCCAGACGGCUACGGGAGGCAGCAGUGGGGAAUAUUGCACAAUGGGCGGAAGCCUGAUGCAGCAACGCCGCGUGCGGGAUGACGGCCUUCGGGUUGUAAACCGCUGUCGCCUGUGACGAAGCGUGAGUGACGGUAAUGAGUAAAGAAGCACCGGCUAACUACGUG
rnacentral:rRNA from 1 species